CUCUUUCUCUGUUCUCACACAAGAAUAUAGGGUUUUUUCCAAUUUGAAAAUGAUACUACACUAAAAGUAUUAUUCUCUUAGCAAUGUCUAUUCAAGAGAUGACACACAGAGAUGAAGUAAUGUGUUUAUGGUCACACAGCUAAUGAUGGGAAGAGCUAGGAUUUGAACCGAGAAAGGUGAUUCUAGAUCUGAGCUUUCUUUUUUUGGCAGCUCCGUGGCUUGCAGGAUCUGAGUUCCUCAACCAGGGCUCAAAAAGGUGCUCCCUGCAAUAGAAGUGUGAAGUCCUAACCACCAGGAAAUUCCUGGAUCUGAGCUCUUCACCUCUGCAAAUGACUGUCUUUGACAGAAGAGAAGAAGGCAGAGAACUGAUCUAAGGGAGCUGAUCCAUGUUUCAGAGACAAGAGGAUGAAAAGGGGCAUGCUAGCCUUUGGUGAUUUUCCCUCUUCAUUCUGAACUCCAGCAUUUCUUCCUGACUUCAGACAUCCUCUGUGAAGACUUGUCUCGCCGUGAAAAGAAAAGGGCCUGAGAGAGCCAGACACCAGGAACUUGCGUCAAGCUACCCUGCCCUGGUAUGGCUACAGGACUGAAGCUCAGGAACAUUGGAAUCCAUAUCCGCCAGGUAGGUUUUUGUUUUCGUUUUUUUUCUUAGAGUUCCUUUUAUUGUACCUUUGUGAUCAAACAGCUCAAACAUACAUAAUAUUCCCCCUCACAAUUCCACCUCCCCUUUCCAUAUCCUCCUCUUCCACUUCAACCCUUUUCCUUCUACUAACUCACCUCUCAAGUACUGCCUUAUCUGUCUUUGUUACAGAAAAAACGGAACUGGUACAUUAACUCACACAAAGGUUUUGGUGACCAGAGCUGACUUGAUAUCUGCCAAUCCCUUUCAAGGUAUAUAGUCUGCAUUUUGAAAAAAGAAAAGAAAAAAGAAGUCCUUGAGACAGUGUUCUUUAUCUCAAAGGAGUGACUCCAAUGGCAAACUUUCUGACAGUCUUCCUUGGGAGGAUGAAGGAAGGAUAAGGAUGAUCCUUAUGAUAAGGAUAUGGUGUGAUAAGGAUCACUGGCAUUUUGUGAUAGUCCCUCAUGAGCUUGGCACAGAGUUAAGUACUUGCCUAUGUGACUAAUUCUCACAGCAACCUGCUGAGGUGACAUGAGCAUCCCCAUUCAGAAAAGGAAAUCACAGUUCAGAGAGAGGUGAUGUUAUUAAAGCUGCUCACUAAGGCCAAGGGAGACUGAAACCUGGGUGUGUCUGGUUUCCAAGUCCUAACCCUCUCUGGCACUCUGGUCACAUCCCUACAAGGAUAUAAUGGGGUCUUUCCGGUCAGCAGGUCUCCUUGGUAUUGGAUGGUUCCCUCCAUCUUCUAGACCUGGGACAGAUAUAGCUUGCACACAGCAAUGAAUUGAAAAAAAGGCAGGACUCUGCAUGUUCCUCCAGAACAGAACCAGUGCCCCAGAUUUUAACCCAUGAACCUGGUUGCUUCUGUGCCUUCACUUUGCCCAGUCUGGAGGUCUUACUGCCAUUCAGGUGCAUAGAAAGUUUCCUGAAAUGAAUGAAUUAAAAAGCAAGACCAGUGACCCAGACCCUACAUCUUUACACUGACCCGUGCCUGUAAAUUAUUUCACGGCGAGUGGUCUUUUCCAAUUGCCUUCAGGUGUUAGUUUAAGCGAGUAGAUUACAAAAGAAAAUUUGAAAAGAUUUUUAAGAUUUAGUAAAACGGAGCAAUUGAUACACACCAGUCCAGUAAUGAUGCCCUACAAACCUGUCAGUUUGCACUAAAGUGACAAGAGUAGCUGAGGGAAAUCCUUGCCCCACGGUUGACGGUCAUAGACUUGG
rnacentral:lncRNA from 1 species